rnacentral:rRNA from 1 species
UGGGGGGAGCAAGCGUUGUUCGGAUUUACUGGGCGUAAAGGGCGCGUAGGCGGCCACCGCAAGUCAGUUGUGAAAUCUCUGGGCUUAACCCAGAAAGGUCAACUGAUACUGCGGGGCUAGAGUGCAGAAGGGGCAACUGGAAUUCUCGGUGUAGCGGUGAAAUGCGUAGAUAUCGAGAGGAACACCUGCGGCGAAGGCGGGUUGCUGGGCUGACACUGACACUGAGGCGCGAAAGCUAGGGGAGCGAACGGGAUUAGAUACCCCGGUAGUCCUAGCCUUAAACGAUGAAUGCUUGGUGUCUGGGGUUUUAUAGUCCCCGGGUGCCGUCGCUAACGCUUUAAGCAUUCCGCCUGGGGAGUACGGUCGCAAGACUG